AACGAACGCUGGCGGCAUGCCUAACACAUGCAAGUCGAACGAGACCUUCGGGUCUAGUGGCGCACGGGUGCGUAACGCGUGGGAACCUGCCCUUAGGUUCGGAAUAACUCCCUAAAGGGGUGCUAAUACCGGAUAAUGUCUUCGGACCAAAGAUUUAUCGCCUUUGGAUGGGCCCGCGUUGGAUUAGCUAGUUGGUAGGGUAAAAGCCUACCAAGGCGACGAUCCAUAGCUGGUCUGAGAGGAUGAUCAGCCACACUGGGACUGAGACACGGCCCAGACUCCUACGGGAGGCAGCAGUGGGGAAUAUUGGACAAUGGGCGAAAGCCUGAUCCAGCAAUGCCGCGUGAGUGAUGAAGGCCUUAGGGUUGUAAAGCUCUUUUACCCGGGAUGAUAAUGACAGUACCGGGAGAAUAAGCUCCGGCUAACUCCGUG
rnacentral:rRNA from 1 species